AGAGACAUCCGAUGAUUUACUUGCACUAAAACUAACAUCAAUGGCCGCGACUGUGCCUUUCAUCAGCGUUGCCAUGACAUUUGGGUGCAUCCUCCUGUUUGGAUAUGUGACACUUGGUGACAGUGAAAUCUGCUAUCAAGGAUUCACUGGACUGGACAGUGGAGGUAGCUGUACGUUUAACAAACGUCAUUGCUGUGACUGGAAAAGUAGUGGAGUCAAAACAAAAUGGAAAGUCACCAUGA